CCUACGGGUGGCAGCAGUGAGGAAUAUUGGUCAAUGGACGAGAGUCUGAACCAGCCAAGUAGCGUGAAGGAUGACUGCCCUAUGGGUUGUAAACUUCUUUUAUAUGGGAAUAAAAUGUUCCACGUGUGGGAUUUUGUAUGUACCAUAUGAAUAAGGAUCGGCUAACUCCGUGCCAGCAGCCGCGGUAAUACGGAGGAUCCGAGCGUUAUCCGGAUUUAUUGGGUUUAAAGGGAGCGUAGGUGGAUUGUUAAGUCAGUUGUGAAAGUUUGCGGCUCAACCGUAAAAUUGCAGUUGAAACUGGCAGUCUUGAGUACAGUAGAGGUGGGCGGAAUUCGUGGUGUAGCGGUGAAAUGCUGAGAUAGCACGAAGAACUCCGAUUGCGAAGGCAGUUCACUGGACUGCAACUGACACUGAGGCUCGAAAGUGUGGGUAUCAAACAGGAUUAGAUACCCUGGUAGUC
rnacentral:rRNA from 1 species